AGCCUAACGUUAAACCAUUUUAGGUGAGCUCUGCCCAGUGAAAUUUUAACGGCCGCGGUACCCUGACCGUGCAAAGGUAGCAUAAUCAUUUGCCCCCUAAUUAGGGGCUAGCAUGAAUGAGUAAACGAAAUCCAUCUGUCUCGCAUAUAUAAAUAAAAACUAGCCUUCAGGUGAAGAGACCUGAAUUCCCUUAAAAGACAAGAAGACCCUGUCGAGCUUUAAUAAAACUAAGAUAAAAUAUUCUUACUCUUUUAAUUAUUUUUGUUGGGGCGACAAAGGAAUAUAUUAAUCUUCCUAAUAAAAAAGACCCCAAGUCUAAUAAAAGACCCAUUACAUAUGAUCAUAGAAAAUAGCUACCGCAGGGAUAACAGACUUAUCCCCCCCCAGAGCCCAAAUCUACGGGGAGGCUUGGCACCUCGAUGUUGGCUUAGGAGCUCUUCUAUACGCAAAAGUAUUUAUAGAGGGUUUGUUCAACCCUUAAUUU
rnacentral:rRNA from 1 species